CGACGUAAAAGCUCGCCAGAGUACCAAUUGGAGGGCAAGUCUGGUGCCAGCAGCCGCGGUAAUUCCAGCUCCAAUAGCGUAUAUUAAACUUGUUGCAGUUAAAAAGCUCGUAGUUGAACUUCAGCCUUUGUUGGUUUCACGUUUUAGUGUAUUCCUGCGUUGGCUUAUCUUUUUACUUUGAGAAAAUUAGAGUGUUUCAAGCAGACUUUUGUCUUGAAUACUUCAGCAUGGAAUAAUAGAGUAGGACCUUGGUUCUAUUUUGUUGGUUUCUGAGCCUGGGUAAUGGUUAAUAGGAACGGUUGGGGGCAUUCGUAUUUAACUGUCAGAGGUGAAAUUCUUAGAUUUGUUAAAGACGAACUAGUGCGAAAGCAUUUGCCAAGGACGUUUUCAUUAAUCAAGAACGAAAGUUAGGGGAUCGAAGACGAUCAGAUACCGU
rnacentral:rRNA from 1 species